rnacentral:tRNA from 1 species
CGGGGUGUAGCGCAGUCUGGCUAGCGCAUCUGCUUUGGGAGCAGUAGGUCGGAGGUUCGAAUCCUCUCACCCCGACCA